rnacentral:rRNA from 1 species
UGGGAAUUUUGGACAAUGGGCGAAAGCCUGAUCCAGCAAUGCCGCGUGUGUGAAGAAGGCCUUCGGGUUGUAAAGCACUUUUGUCCGGAAAGAAAUCCUUGGCUCUAAUACAGUCGGGGGAUGACGGUACCGGAAGAAUAAGCACCGGCUAACUACGUGCCAGCAGCCGCGGUAAUACGUAGGGUGCAAGCGUUAAUCGGAAUUACUGGGCGUAAAGCGUGCGCAGGCGGUUUGCUAAGACCGAUGUGAAAUCCCCGGGCUCAACCUGGGAACUGCAUUGGUGACUGGCAGGCUAGAGUAUGGCAGAGGGGGGUAGAAUUCCACGUGUAGCAGUGAAAUGCGUAGAGAUGUGGAGGAAUACCGAUGGCGAAGGCAGCCCCCUGGGCCAAGUACUGACGCUCAUGCACGAAAA